GCCUCCAUGGUGUAAUGGUCAGCACGCUCGACGCGUAUUCGAGAGGUCCGUGGUUCGAGUCCCGGCGAGGGCA
rnacentral:tRNA from 1 species